rnacentral:rRNA from 1 species
GAUAAACGCUGGCGGCGUGCCUAAUGCAUGCAAGUCGAACGCUUCCCCGACUUGUCGGGGGAGAGUGGCAGACGGGUGAGUAACGCGUAAGAACCUAUCCUUAAGAGGGGGAUAACCCCCAGAAAUGGGGGCUAAUACCGCGUAAGCUCCCCAAUAUAAUUGGGGAGGAAAGCUGAGGCGCUUGAGGAGGGGCUUGCGUCCGAUUAGCUGGUUGGUGGGGUAAAGGCUCACCGAGGCGAAGAUCGGUAGCUGGUCUGAGAGGAUGAUCAGCCACACUGGGACUGAGACACGGCCCAGACUCCUACGGGAGGCAGCAGCAGGGGAUCUUGCGCAAUGGGCGAAAGCCUGACGCAGCAACGCCGCGUGGGGGAAGAAGGCCUUCGGGUUGUAAACCCCUUUUCUCAGGGAAGAUAAUGACGGUACUGAGGAAUAAGCCUCGGCUAACUACGUGCCAGCAGCCGCGGUAAGACGUAGGAGGCAAGCGUUAUCCGGAAUUAUUGGGCGUAAAGGGCGUGUAGGCGGCUCUUCAAGUCUCUGGUGAAAUCUCCCGGCUCAACCGGGAGGGGGCCAGAGAAACUGGAGGGCUUGAGGGCAGCAGAGGGGGGUGGAAUUCCCGGUGUAGUGGUGAAAUGCGUAGAUAUCGGGAGGAACACCAGUGGCGAAGGCGGCCCCCUGGGCUGUUCCUGACGCUGAGGCGCGAAAGCGUGGGGAGCGAACAGGAUUAGAUACCCUGGUAGUCCACGCCGCAAACGAUGGACACUAGGUAUGGGGGGUAUCGACCCCCUCCGUGCCGAAGCUAACGCCUUAAGUGUCCCGCCUGGGGAUUACGGCUGCAAGGCUAAAACUCAAAGGAAUUGACGG